CCUACGGGAGGCAGCAGUGAGGAAUAUUGGUCAAUGGGCGAGAGCCUGAACCAGCCAAGUCGCGUGAGGGAGUACUGCCCUAUGGGUUGUAAACCUCUUUUGUCGGGGAGCAAAAGCCGGACGUGUCCGGCUGUGAGAGUACCCGAAGAAAAAGCAUCGGCUAACUCCGUGCCAGCAGCCGCGGUAAUACGGAGGAUGCGAGCGUUAUCCGGAUUUAUUGGGGUUAAAGGGUGCGCAGGCGGAUUUUUAAGUCAGCGGUCAAAUCGUGGGGCUCAACCCCAUCCCGCCGUUGAAACUGGGGAUCUAGAGUUUGUGAGAGGUAUGCGGAAUGCGUGGUGUAGCGGUGAAAUGCAUAGAUAUCACGCAGAACCCCGAUUGCGAAGGCAGCAUACCGGUGCACAACUGACGCUCAGGCACGAAAGCGUGGGUAUCGAACAGGAUUAGAUACCCCUGUAGUC
rnacentral:rRNA from 1 species